GUCGUCUGCAUAAAUAACGCAGUGACUGCCAUCACGCGGACCUGUUUGGAUCUGUCCAAAUGAAUCAUGAAAAUAUGCUGGAUGCUUUCCGCGGCUACUAGCGCUAGUGAAGGAUACGUAAUAGGCAAAAAAUAGUGUUGUUCAAAAUCUGACCAAAGAGAAGGAUAGUUGAACAAUAGACGUUUGUUGCAAACUACAUGGUGCUUCAUGCAGCUGGGUGUGGGAUCUGUUGUAGAUGGCCUGAAAAAGCGUGAUUAGCAAAAGACGAUUCGUAGCGGGGAGCAAGGCGGUAGAACGAAAUCGAGGGUGAAACGAAGAUUACGGCCGCGGGGCAAAAUGCCUCGAGAGCGAAAAACAUCGACGAGCCAUCUAUUCAAAUCGAUCGGAAGGAAGCUAGCUAGCUCACCAGUCAGUCGCACUCACCGACGACGAGUACACCAAAGCAGCUUUUACUUCAUCUCGCUUAGUUCUCUUCUUGAAGACGGCCGUUUCUAUGAAAUGGGUUUUUUUUCCUGGGCACAGCGUUGAUUUGGGGUGCAAACUUCAAACGUAGUUUGAGUGUCGAAAGCUCAUAGCUGAAAUAGCAGACGGCUGACAACAAACCCAAUACGGUCCUGUUCGUGAUUUGCGCUAAGAAUGCUGAAACAUUAUGGAGCCCAGA